rnacentral:rRNA from 1 species
CAGUCGCCGCGGGAAUACAGAGGGUGCGAGCGUUAAUCGGAUUUACUGGGCGUAAAGCGUGCGUAGGCGGCUUCUUAAGUCGGAUGUGAAAUCCCUGAGCUUAACUUAGGAAUUGCAUUCGAUACUGGGAAGCUAGAGUAUGGGAGAGGAUUGUAGAAUUCCAGGUGUAGCGGUGAAAUGCGUAGAGAUCUGGAGGAAUACCGAUGGCGAAGGCAGCCAUCUGGCCUAAUACUGACGCUGAGGUACGAAAGCAUGGGGAGCAAACAGGAUUAGAUACCCGCGUAGUCCCUGUCUCUUAUAC